AUUUCGACCCGAGGAUAAGGAGUUGGUAGUGCAGUUGUUAUUGUUUUCGCUACUCAACAAUCCAUGUGCUCCUCCCUCUUCUUAUAAUUUCGGCUUUCAACGAGUUUGGAUCGGCGACUAUUACUACGUCCGAUAUCCUGGCUAUGCGAGGUUCCGAGAUCUUUAUUCUCAACAUCUCGCUAGGCUUUUGUGGUGGCUAGAGUCAGGCGAGGAUAUUUUCUAUCCAACUUCUCGAUCUGCUGUGUUUUUACCUGAAUGUCUGCUGGAGGAAUUUGAAGAUUUUGUCUAGGAUAAUGAUGUGAAUGCAAUUUGUUUUCGUAGUGUUUUCAUUGUAGUGUUUUUGUUGGGUUGUUUAAUAAACUUUUGUUGGCUCUUUAA